rnacentral:rRNA from 1 species
GCAGUGGGGAUAUUGCACAAUGGGCGCAAGCCUGAUGCAGCCAUGCCGCGUGUAUGAAGAAGGCCUUCGGGUUGUAAAGUACUUUCAGCGGGGAGGAAGGCGAUAAGGUUAAUAACCUUGUCGAUUGACGUUACCCGCAGAAGAAGCACCGGCUAACUCCGUGCCAGCAGCCGCGGUAAUACGGAGGGUGCAAGCGUUAAUCGGAAUUACUGGGCGUAAAGCGCACGCAGGCGGUCUGUCAAGUCGGAUGUGAAAUCCCCGGGCUCAACCUGGGAACUGCAUUCGAAACUGGCAGGCUAGAGUCUUGUAGAGGGGGGUAGAAUUCCAGGUGUAGCGGUGAAAUGCGUAAAGAUCUGGAGGAAUACCGGUGGCGAAGGCGGCCCCCUGGACAAAGACUGACGCUCAGGUGCGAAAGCGUGGGGAGCAAACAGGAUUAAAUACCCUGGUAGUCCACGCCGUAAACGAUGUCGACUUGGAGGUUGUGCCCUUGAGGCGUGGCUUCCGGAGCUAACGCGUUAAGUCGACCGCCUGGGGAGUACGGCCGCAAGGUUAAAACUCAAAUGAAUUGACGGGGGCCCGCACAAGCGGUGGAGCAUGUGGUUUAAUUCGAUGCAACGCGAAGAACCUUACCUG